rnacentral:lncRNA from 1 species
ACUGGAACUUACCCUGAAGCGGACCUAUUAUUUUACCUUUUCAGAUGAGAUUGUUUUGAAAUGGAUGAGGAAAGCAGGAAGUCUCUGAGUCUAAAGGAGGAGACGAGUGUGACCAGGCUGCUGGUGAGAGAUGGCAAGAGAGCUCAGUCCUGUAAGAGAAUUGGAGGACACAAUCACUCGUUCUGGAAUAAGCCAGCAGCCAUGUCAUGAGAAUGCAGAAACAGUUCUAGGGAGAGAGUCGUGUGGUUGGUGUGGAGAGGGAUUGAGGCCCCCUUGACCAACCGACAUGUGAGUGAGCCUUCUUAGAAGCAGAACCUCCUGUCUCAGUCAAGCCUUCAAAGACUGCACUCCUGGCAAACAUCUUGACUAACGAAGGACCCUGAGUUAGAACCGCCUAGCAAAGCCACAGCCAAAUUCACCACCUUUAGAAACUGGGAGAUAAUAAAGAACUAUUGUUUUGAACUGCUAAUCUUGAGGAAAACUUAUCACCCAGAAAUACGUAACAGAAGUGUGUUGUUCUCCCCAAUUCCUUUUUUGUAAUUAUAAACAAUGUUGCACCAAACCUCCUUGCAUAUAUAUCUUUAUGUCCUCGGGAUAUUAUUUCUAUAAGAUGAAUUCUUUUUUUCCCCCCCAAGAUUUUAUUUAUUUAUUUGAAAGAGAGAGAGAGAGUACAAACAGGGAGAGGAGCAGAGAGAGAGGGAGAAGCAGGCUCCCUGCUGGGCAGGGAGUCUGAUGUGGUACUUGAUCCCAGGACCCUAAGAUCAGCACCCAAAUCGAAGGCAGACACAUAAUUAACUGAGCCACCCAGACGCCCCUCUAUAGGAUGAAUUCUUUCCUUUUCUUUUCUUUUAAGGUUUUAUUUAUUUAUUUGACAGAGAGAGACACAGCAAGAGAGGGAACACAAACAGGGGAGUGGGAGAGGUAGAAGCAAGCUCCCUGCCUAACAGGGAACCUGAUGUGGGGCUCGAUCCCAGGACCCCAGGAUCAUGACCUGAGAUGAAGGCAGAUGCUCAGUGACUGAGCCACCAAGGUGUCCCUGUAGGAUGAAUUCUUAAAACUGGUCUGGCUGUGCACAUUUUAAACUUAGAUAUUGUCAAAUUUCCUCCCCUAAAUAAUUUUAACAAUUUACACUCAUCUGGUUGGAUGAGAGUGUCUCUAUAUCUUUGCCAAUUUACAUGCUAUUAGUCUUUCUAAUUUUUCUCAAUCCUAUGAGAGAAAGUAUCUGAUAUUUUUAUUAAUCUAUAUUUCUUAACAUUGGCUUAGAUGGAUGAGCUUUUUUUUUUUUUUGGUAUAUUUACAAUUCAGAUGAAGACUUGCUUGCAUCCACCUAUUCCUUGAUACUUCCUCUUCCC